ACUGGUUUCGCUAUUCUUCGAAUACCAGUUUGUUGCUCCUGUUCAUCAAAACUGUGGGUGGCCAGCAUAUAUAUUUUCUUAAAUGAGUAAAUAAUUCGGACGUACCGUAAAUCAACGAAGAAGACAUAACUGAUAAUGACUCGCAGAGUUAUUUAUCGGAAGAUCAAGGAACUAAUCUUUCAAACCAUAGGUCACAACUUGUUGAAGACUCUACAGAUAUUUCGCGUUGGAGAACUCCAGAACCUUCUACAUCCCGUGCUUUCUCACCGCCAUCAUCUAGGUCGCAGGACACACAUACAAGCCAAACACCGUUGAAGUUGCAAAAAGGAACAAUAAAAAAGACCAACAAGCCUUACUGGACCGAUGUCAUUCAGCAGAUUCCUUUGAAAUAUUUGGAAACCAUGUGGCAGAUGAAUUGCGUAACAUGCAUUUAAAAGCCCCUGAUUUGCAGGGGUAUGCGAAACGAGAAAUAAGGCGAAUUAUUUUAAAUAUAAAUGACAAGUAUAAGUCCAGACUGACACAGAAUGGUCGCUAUCAACACUCUCAAUCGCAAAUGUCCGUUAAUAAAAAUUCAAAUAACUUUCGCCUUUGUA